rnacentral:tRNA from 1 species
GUUUUAAUAGUUUAAUUUGAGAACGUAGUUUUGAAGCGAUUAAGGUUGGCUAAUGUUAUUAAAACG